UCGAUAAGGAGCUGUGGACUGUAUAGAAGAGAGAAUGCCGGAAUGAGUAGCGAGAGGAAGGUGAGAAUCCUUCCGGCCGAAUAUCUAAGGUUUCCAGAGUAAAGCUGAUCUGCUCUGGGUAAGUCGGGGCCUAAGGCCAGGUCGAAAGACGUAACCGAUGGACAACAGGUUGAAAUUCCUGUACCGCGAUAUAACAGAACUGUGGGGACACGUGUGGAGAGCACAAGCCGGGAAUGGAAAGCCCGGCGCAAGCAAGGUAGGAGUCGUACCGGCAAAUCCGUACGGCAAUCCGAAGAUGUGAUGCGCACCGAAUUAAGAGUAGGGAAGAGUGUGAGCCAUGCGUCAAGAAAAGCCGCUAUUGUUUGUAUCGCGCCCGUACCGUAAACCGACACAGGUGGAUGAGGAGAGAAUCCUAAGGCCGACGGGAGAAGCAUUGUUAAGGAACUCGGCAAAAUGACUCCGUAACUUCGGGAGAAGGAGUGCCACUGAGAGGUGGCCGCAGAGAAUUGGCCCAAGCAACUGUUUAGCAAAAACACAGGUCUAUGCAAGACCGAAAGGUGAAGUAUAUGGGCUGACGCCUGCCCGGUGCUGGAAGGUUAAGGGGAGAGGUUAGCGCAAGCGAAGCUUUGAACUUAAGCCCCAGUAAACGGCGGCCGUAACGAUAACGGUCCUAAGGUAGCGAAAUUCCUUGUCGGGUAAGUUCCGACCCGCACGAAAGGCGUAAUGAUUUGGGCACUGUCUCAACAAUGCACCCGGUGAAAUUGAAAUACCAGUGAAGAUGCUGGUUACCUGCGCCAGGACGGAAAGACCCCAUGGAGCUUUACUCCAGCUUGAUACUGGGAUUCGGUAUUGCAUGUACAGGAUAGGUGGGAGGCUAAGAAGCGGUAACGCCAGUUGCCGUGGAGCUGCUGUUGGGAUACCACCCUUGCAGUACUGGGUUUCUAACCAGCGGCCUUAAACAGGUCGGGGGACAAUGUCAGGUGGGGAGUUUGACUGGGGCGGUCGCCUCCGAAAGGGUAUCGGAGGCGCUCAAAGGUUCCCUCAGAAUGGUCGGAAACCAUUCGAAGAGUGCAAAGGCAGAAGGGAGCUUGACUGCGACACCGACGGGUGGAGCAGGUACGAAAGUAGGACUUAGUGAUCCGGUGGUAUAAAGUGGGAUUGCCAUCGCUCAACGGAUAAAAGCUACCCUGGGAUAACAGGCUUAUCACUCCCAAGAGUUCACAUCGACGGAGUGGUUUGGCACCUCGAUGUCGGCUCAUCGCAUCCUGGGGCUGAAGUAGGUCCCAAGGGUUGGGCUGUUCGCCCAUUAAAGCGGUACGCGAGCUGGGUUCAGAACGUCGUGAGACAGUUCGGUCCCUAUCCGGCGUGGGCGUAGGAUAUUUGAGAGGAGCUGUCCUUAGUACGAGAGGACCGGGAUGGACUGGCCGCUGGUUGAUCUGUUGUUCCGCCAGGAGCAUAGCAGAGUAGCCAAGCCGGGACGGGAUAAACGCUGAAGGCAUCUAAGCGUGAAGCCCCCCUCAAGAUGAGAUAUCCCAACGAAAGUUGUAAGACCCCUUGAAGACGACGAGGUAGAUAGGACAGAGGUGGAAGUGUGGUAACACAUGGAGCUGACUGUUACUAAUAGGUCGAGGGCAUAACCG
rnacentral:rRNA from 1 species